UACAGAGGGUGCAAGCGUUAAUCGGAAUUACUGGGCGUAAAGCGUGCGUAGACGGUUAUGCAAGUCGGGUGUGAAAGCCCCGGGCUCAACCUGGGAAUGCCAUUCGAGACUGCAUAGCUAGGGUGCGGAAGAGGGAAGCGGAAUUUCCGGUGUAGCGGUGAAAUGCGUAGAUAUCUGGAGGAACACCGGUGGCGAAGGCGGCAUCCUGGACCGACACUGACACUGAGGAGCGAAAGCCAGGGGAGCAAACGGG
rnacentral:rRNA from 1 species